rnacentral:sRNA from 1 species
AACGGCUUCGACGAGGACGGUGACCGG